GCAUAUCAAUAAGCGGAGGAAAAGAAACCAACAGGGAUUGCCUUAGUAACGGCGAGUGAAGCGGCAACAGCUCAAAUUUGAAAUCUGGCUCUUUUAGGGUCCGAGUUGUAAUUUGCAGAGGGCGCUUUGGCUUUGGCAGCGGUCCAAGUUCCUUGGAACAGGACGUCACAGAGGGUGAGAAUCCCGUACGUGGUCGCUAGCUAUUGCCGUGUAAAGCCCCUUCGACGAGUCGAGUUGUUUGGGAAUGCAGCUCUAAAUGGGAGGUAAAUUUCUUCUAAAGCUAAAUAUUGGCCAGAGACCGAUAGCGCACAAGUAGAGUGAUCGAAAGAUGAAAAGCACUUUGGAAAGAGAGUCAAACAGCACGUGAAAUUGUUGAAAGGGAAGCGCUUGCAGCCAGACUUGCUUGCAGUUGCUCAUCCGGGCUUUUGCCCGGUGCACUCUUCUGUAGGCAGGCCAGCAUCAGUUUGGGCGGUGGGAUAAAGGUCUCUGACACGUUCCUUCCUUCGGGUUGGCCAUAUAGGGGAGACGUCAUACCACCAGCCUGGACUGAGGUCCGCGCAUCUGCUAGGAUGCUGGCGUAAUGGCUGUAAGCGGCCCGUCUUGAAACACGGACCAAGGAGUCUAACAUCUAUGCGAGUGUUUGGGUGUCAAGCCCGAGCGCGUAAUGAAAGUGAACGGAGGUGGGAACCCGCAAGGGUGCACCAUCGACCGAUCCUGAAGUUUACGGAAGGAUUUGAGUAAGAGCAUGGCUGUUGGGACCCGAAAGAUGGUGAACUAUGCUUGAAUAGGGUGAAGCCAGAGGAAACUCUGGUGGAGGCUCGCAGCGGUUCUGACGUGCAAAUCGAUCGUCAAAUUUGGGCAUAGGGGCGAAAGACUAAUCGAACUAUCUAGUAGCUGGUUCCUGCCG
rnacentral:rRNA from 1 species